UACGGGGGAUGCAAGCGUUAUCCGGAAUCAUUGGGCGUAAAGCGCCUGUAGGUUGUUUAAUAAGUCCGUUGUUAAAGACUAGGGCUCAACCCUAGAGCAGCAAUGGAAACUACUAGACUAGAGUAUGGCAGGGGUAGAGGGAAUUUCUAGUGUAGCGGUGAAAUGCGUAGAUAUUAGAAAGAACACCGGCGGCGAAAGCGCUCUACUGGACCAUUACUGACACUCAGAGGCGAAAGCUAGGGUAGCAAAAGGGAUUAGAUACCCCUGUAGUCCUAGCCGUAAACGAUGGAUACUAGAUGUUGCAUGUAAUGUGCAGUAUCCUAGCUAACGCGUUAAGUAUCCCGCCUGGGGAGUACGCUCGCAAGGGUG
rnacentral:rRNA from 1 species